rnacentral:rRNA from 1 species
UACUACCGAAGCUACGGCAUCAGUAAUGAUGGGUAGGGGAGCUUCCCAUACGGGUUGAAGCAUGACCGUAAGGACAUGUGGACAGGAUGGGAGUGAGAAUGUUGGCAUGAGUAGCGAGAUGUGGGUGGGAAUCCCACAGGCCGUAAACCCAAGGUUUCCAGGGGAAGGUUCGUCCGCCCUGGGUUAGUCGGGACCUAAGCUGAGGCCGAAAGG